AACGAACGCUGGCGGCGUGCCUAACACAUGCAAGUCGAGCGCGAAAAGGGCAACCUGAGUAGAGCGGCGCACGGGUGCGUAACACGUGGGUAAUCUGCCUUAGAGUCGAGGAUAACCUUCCGAAAGGUUGGCUAAUACUCGGUAAGCUUACGGUGUCUUCGGACGCUGUGGGAAAAGUAGGCCUCUGUUUACAAGCUUACGCUCGGAGAUGAGCACGCGGCCCAUCAGCUAGUUGGCGGUGUAACGGACCACCAAGGCAACGACGGGUAGCUGGUCUGAGAGGACGAUCAGCCACACUGGAACUGAGACACGGUCCAGACUCCUACGGGAGGCAGCAGUGGGGAAUUUUCCACAAUGGGCGGAAGCCUGAUGGAGCAACGCCGCGUGUGUGAUGAAGGUUUUCGGAUCGUAAAGCACUUUCGACCGGGACGAAAAACCUCUGGCUAACAUCCAGGGGCCUGACGGUACCGGGAGAAGAAGCACCGGCUAACUCUGUGCCAGCAGCCGCCGUAA
rnacentral:rRNA from 1 species